AGAGUUUGAUCCUGGCUCAGGACAAACGCUGGCGGCGUGCGUAACACAUGCAAGUCGGACGAGAGGAGCGCCUUUUCGGAGGGGCUUUUUGAGUGGCGGACGGGUGCGUAACACGUGGAUAACCUGCCCUGGUGUGGGGGAUACCCUGUAGAAAUACGGGCUAAUACCGCAUACGGUGGCCUCUGGAGAGCUGGAGGCCA
rnacentral:rRNA from 1 species